ensembl:snoRNA LOC120102653 small nucleolar RNA SNORA48
UUCCAUUGGCAAUGGGCAAAGAGACACCUUGUUGGUCGUGUUGUACUUAUAUCAGUCAAGGGCAGAACAGACUGUAGUCCUUAGUUCAUCUUAGUUUGAUCCCUCUCUUGGUGGCCAAAGCUUUCUUAUGUCUAAGACUCAUAA